AAGUUAAAAGAGAUCCUGAGCUGCUUUUGUUGCAGUAGCCAUGAAACAGCAGCUUAGAGGGGGGAAUAACUUUGGACACUGAGUUACAAUAGUCACAGAGAAACCGGGGAAAAAAGAAAGCAUUAACUUUUCAGUACCGUGUUAACUUUUAAGACUAUUGGAAGAAAUAUGUCAUCACUUCAAGAAAAAGCCCCAUACAGAGUUCAGAUCAACACGACUCGUCUGAAGAACGGCAGAGGCCUAAAAUGAAACGGCUCUGGCUGUGCAAGCGCAAAAUGCAGCGUCCUAUCGACCCGUCUGCUCCCUGUGUACUGAGCGACUGAUGUCGACGCAGAAAGAGCAUCGGAAAAGAAAAGAACAGCACUCAGCAAGGCGGGCCAAAAACUGAUCUCAGUCUUCACUUUUACUUCUGCCGUGUCUGAACUGUGGCUGAUGAGCUUCCUGGCCUGGCAGAGAUGACUGCUCGCUCUCCCUCCGGUGAGACAUUUGGCCCACUGCUGGUUGCAGCAACAUUUCCUACCCAGGUUCGUUGCUACCACUCUACUUUUCCUUGUAGAAGCAGAACUGCUUUUGCUGACCCUGAGCUAUGUUGCACAACAAAAAUUCACAUUAAACUCCACAUCAAGAGAUCUAGAGAGUCAUCUCCUUUUGGCAUAAUUUUAGUCUAAAACGUGAAUUCACACUGUGGAAACGUUUAUUGUCCUUUCCUGGUAGCACCAGAUUGAGCAGUAAAAUCUAAAGUAAAUUCUGUUUAAUUCCAGACACAAAAAAUAUGUUUCCUUCCACAGUUGCUGAGACUUGUGUUGAAUGAAGGAAUAUGCCUCUCUCUAAACUGUUGGCACACAAGCCGUAAAUUUAAAAACCAGGAAAUGUGAGGGCUGGAAACCAUCCUCAACACUUCUGCACAGUUCCCUUGGCACCCACGCUUAGGCGCUAUAUCUAAACUCCUUUAGUUAAUGGUGUUAACAUUCCAGUUCAAGUUCACUUGGCCAAGUGAUCUGAGUCAUUUUUAAAGCUACAAUCUUGAAGGGCAGAAUCUGUGCAUAAACUAUGCCCUCUCUGUGCCUGACUUCUGCAGAGCAAGGUGAGACCACAAUUAUUUUCAAGCCCUUUCUUACGUAAGAAUUGUAAAGCAAAAGACUGUACUCUGGAGAAGUCUCUUUGUGCUUCAUGGGUCCUUCAUAUCUCUUUACAACCUGCAAAGAUUUGGUAUAAAAAAACCUGACUUUUGAAAGAAAAUGAAAUUACGGGAGGAAAUCCAGAAGUUAAUAACAACUUUACCUUUGACUUCAGUGGAAUCAAGGAUUCUACCUAUGGAAUUUGCUAAUGUUUCCUAAAAACCAGGGUGGAGGAGAGAUAAAGUCAAGGCAUCCAUUAUUUCUUCAAUAAUUAAUUAUCUUAAAACAACAUCCUGAUAAAUUCCAUGAUGCUUUAGGAACUGCUGUUUGAAGACAGAACCUACUUUCCAUAUUGUAUCAUUGACAGAAGCUUUUG